CGGGGGGCAGCAGUGGGGAAUAUUGGACAAUGGGCGCAAGCCUGAUCCAGCCAUGCCGCGUGAGUGAUGAAGGCCCUAGGGUUGUAAAGCUCUUUUGUGCGGGAAGAUAAUGACGGUACCGCAAGAAUAAGCCCCGGCUAACUUCGUGCCAGCAGCCGCGGUAAUACGAAGGGGGCUAGCGUUGCUCGGAAUCACUGGGCGUAAAGGGUGCGUAGGCGGGUCUUUAAGUCAGGGGUGAAAUCCUGGAGCUCAACUCCAGAACUGCCUUUGAUACUGAGGAUCUUGAGUUCGGGAGAGGUGAGUGGAACUGCGAGUGUAGAGGUGAAAUUCGUAGAUAUUCGCAAGAACACCAGUGGCGAAGGCGGCUCACUGGCCCGAUACUGACGCUGAGGCACGAAAGCGUGGGGAGCAAACAGGAUUAGAUACCCUUGU
rnacentral:rRNA from 1 species